rnacentral:rRNA from 1 species
UGGGGAAUAUUGCACAAUGGGGGAAACCCUGAUGCAGCAACGCCGCGUGCGUGAUGACGGCCUUCGGGUUGUAAACCGCUUUCAGCCAUGACGAAGCUUUUGUGACGGUAGUGGCAGAAGAAGCACCGGCUAACUACGUGCCAGCAGCCGCGGUGAUACGUAGGGUGCGAGCGUUGUCCGGAAUUAUUGGGCGUAAAGAGCUUGUAGGCGGUUUGUCGCGUCGAAAGUGUAAACUCAGUGCUUAACGCUGAGCCUGCUUUCGAUACGGGCUGACUAGAGGAAGGUAGGGGAGAAUGGAAUUCCCGGUGGAGCGGUGGAAUGCGCAGAUAUCGGGAGGAACACCAGUGGCGAAGGCGGUUCUCUGGACCUUUCCUGACGCUGAGAAGCGAAAGCGUGGGUAGCAAACAGG